GACGAACGCUGGCGGCGUGCUUAACACAUGCAAGUCGAGCGAUGAAGCUCCUUCGGGAGUGGAUUAGCGGCGGACGGGUGAGUAACACGUGGGUAACCUGCCUCAUAGAGGGGAAUAGCCUUUCGAAAGGAAGAUUAAUACCGCAUAAGAUUGUAGUACCGCAUGGUAUAGCAAUUAAAGGAGUAAUCCGCUAUGAGAUGGACCCGCGUCGCAUUAGCUAGUUGGUGAGGUAACGGCUCACCAAGGCGACGAUGCGUAGCCGACCUGAGAGGGUGAUCGGCCACAUUGGGACUGAGACACGGCCCAGACUCCUACGGGAGGCAGCAGUGGGGAAUAUUGCACAAUGGGGGAAACCCUGAUGCAGCAACGCCGCGUGAGUGAUGACGGUCUUCGGAUUGUAAAGCUCUGUCCUCAGGGACGAUAAUGACGGUACCUGAGGAGGAAGCCACGGCUAACUACGUGCCAGCAGCCGCGGUAACAC
rnacentral:rRNA from 1 species